GGUUGAUCCUGCCAGUAGUCAUAUGCUUGUCUCAAAGAUUAAGCCAUGCAUGUCUAAGUAUAAACUCUUGUACAGUGAAACUGCGAAAGGCUCAUUAAAUCAGUUAUAGUUUAUUUGAUAGUACAGGACUACAUGGAUAACCGUGGUAAUUCUAGAGCUAAUACAUGCGCAAGGGCCCGACUUCAGGAAGGGCGGCAUUUAUUAGAUAAAAAGCCAACCCGGGCAACCGGAUUUGUGGUGAUUCAUAGUAACUGGGCGAAUCGCAGGGCCGCGAGCCGGCGAUGGUUCAUUC
rnacentral:rRNA from 1 species